UCUAAUUAACUGUUUAGGUUCAGAUAAUUAUUACAAAGUCCCCGACGGGAUAUCUUGUCCAAUUUAAAAAUCUACCGGAAUGUUUUUUCAUUGAAAAUAGUGUUGAAUUUAAAGCACCACCAAAAAAUGAUAUUAUCCAAAUUGUCAUCAAAAGUGUUCAGAUAUCAGAUGUAUUACAGCUAAAGAAUGAAAUUAUUUUGGUCAUUUCACAGCUUUUGCCUACAGUCAACUUUUUAUGUGAAUCAAAGAAUGAAGAGAAAUCAACUUAUUUAUACCCAAGCUGACUAACUGUCAAGAAAGAGAAGACAAGGCAACUCCAUCUGAAGGAAAUUAAAAGAAAAGAUUUUAUUGUUAAAAAACAAUAGAUGUGAAAAUGUUAUUUUUUUCAAUCUAAAACACACAUAACAAAAAAUACACUUAAAAAAUAUGGUUCAAGAAAGUUUCUUAAAAUAUCAGUCUUACUAUUUUUAUAUACUUGAAGAUGUAUUGUAAAAGUAAAUUUGAUAGAUUAAAGUUUUUCAAGGCUUGAAUUAUCUCCCCUUAUUAACCUAACUUUAUGCAAGACUAUUUGUUUUACAACUCAUAGAAUUCUAAUUUUUUAAAGUUGGAAACAUGUGUCAAUAUUUGUUUCUUCUUUAUUUACAGCUUUAUGAUUGGAGUUCAACCUUUUAUCUCAAGAACAACAUAAAGGAAAUCUACUGUGCACAGAUUUAAAAGUCUUCCUCUCUCUUUUUUUAUGAAUUUUAAAGAUUUUUUAAGACAGACAAUUUAACACUGUAUUAGAGAAAUUUAUGUUGCAGAAAUUCAAGAUACUUUGUAAAAACAAACAAUAUGACUUUUUUACUUAAAUAGUUCCAAAAUCAAAUGACUAAGGGAGAUAACUCUACUUCUAAAUUAUUUAUCUGAAAUUGUAAAUUAAAGUGGCUCAUUUUAGUAUUAUCACUGAUGGAUAGAUUUGUCCCUUAAUAAAGAUUAAUGUUCCUAACAAUUGAUGAUAACUUAUAUCUGCUGAUGCAAAUUGUCCCUUACUUUUAAGAGUAUUACUUUUAAAUUAAAUAUAUGUUAUUUUCAGGAGUUGUGUCCCUUUAAUAUUUUUUUAUUUAUCAGAACAUGUUUGGUGUAUAUGUACUCAAGGUGGAAUUUUAUGCUGAUAACAUUAUCUUUAUUUAUAUUCAAGGUUGUCAAACAAUCCUGUAGUUGUAGUAUUUUGAAUUAAGAGAUGAUCUGUAUCAAUAUGUAUUAAAAUUAAUUGUUUCUUUUGCACGCCCCUCAAUUACAUAGUAAUGGCUUAUUUUUUUUAUAUCAACCUUAAUGGUGAAAGAAUUCAGAAUUGACGAAUUCUGAAAUUCUGCAUUUUAGAUCUGUGGUAAUAAAUGAUUUAUUUGAAUUUGAAACAUCAUUUAAGUUGACAUGUUCCUUUUUCAAACAUUUACAAAUGAACACAAUUGUUUUUUUAUUUGAAAAGAUAAUAAUUUGAAAAACUUAUUACAUUUAAAAUUAAUGUAUCUCCUACCUACUGAUACUUCUAAGAAAUUGUAUGCAAAUAAUGUUCAUAGAUAUUAGAUUUAUAGAAAGUCAAACUUGAAAAGAAACUUGGAUUGCUGUGCAUAAUUUAUGUUUAAUUUGAAAUUGUAACAAAUUGUAAACUUUUAUUUGAUUGUACAUUGUGAUGAAUGUUAAAUGAAAUUAAUCUGUAUAGAUGAAACUUUUGUUUUAUUCAUUGAUUAAUAAACUAAAUAAGAUUAUAAUGCAAUACCUGUCUUUGUAUUUUUUAUGAAUUAAUUCAGAACUACCACAAUUUAAAUCACAAAUAAAACAUUUGUCUUCUGUUUGAAGUUUCUCUGUAUGUCCAUUAAAUAAUUAAACCUGUUAAACUAAGCAUAAACAUUUUCUUGCUUACUGAAUGAUCAAAUCAAUAGAAUAUAAAUCAUAUGUUCCAGAAUGCAAGACAUAGGAAUGCUGAUCUCAACUUUUUUCAUUUCAGAUGGUAGAAGAGUUUGAUAAAUUAUAUUUAGAUGUCUGUCUUGUGUCUGGUGUCAUUGAUCUCAGUGUUUUUAUCACCUGAUUUUGUCAAUUAUCAUGAGUAAAAGGACAAUUAUAUUUGGUAUUAAGUCUGCACAAGAGGGAAACAUUUCUGUAAGAAGGAGUUCAUCUUCUUUUUAAUUAUUGAUUAGUAAAGAUACUAUAGUAAUUAUGUGUUGAGUAUGAAAUGAUUAUAAGAUCUACUAGUAUGUGUCGGUUUGGCAGAACUCAUCUUACUUUUAUUUGAAUUUUAUGAUUUCAAACAUAAACAUUACUUUUACUGUUCUUGUCGAUGUAUGUUCGUUUAUAACAUUUUAUGCAAGCAGGGGCUUUAACGGUGUCAUAUGGACACUUCCCAAUUUUUUUUUACAUUGUAGCUAUUAUCUUGAAAACUAUAUUAGAUAGAUAGAAACUUUAAAAAUGAUCAACAAUGCAACAUCUACAAUUAAGACAAAAUGGAAAAAAUUAACCAAAGACUCCUUGUUGGAGUAAUUGCCCUUAAAUGACGAUUUUUAACUUCUUUCUUGUUUGUAUAUAUGUUUGCUUUCAAAUGAUAAGAAUUGUAAUAAAUAGAAAAUUAAAAUCUUAA